CGGCGGACGGGUGAGUAACGCGUGGGUAACCUACCCUGUACACACGGAUAACAUACCAAAAGGUAUGCUAAUACGGGAUAAUAUAUUUGAGAGGCAUCUCUUGAAUAUCAAAGGUGAGCCAGUACAGGAUGGACCCGCGUCUGAUUAGCUAGUUGGUAAGGUAACGGCUUACCAAGGCGACGAUCAGUAGCCGACCUGAGAGGGUGAUCGGCCACAUUGGAACUGAGACACGGUCCAA
rnacentral:rRNA from 1 species